AUUCCCCUUGGCUAGGGCCUGUUCUGGAAAUAGUCCAAGAGGGAGAUGGAGCCCCUGGCUCUGGGGCAUCCAAUCUGAUGGUGAUGAGAAGGCUGCUCAGGACCGAGGCUGAGACAAGCGACCAGGACGGGAUUGUAUGGCUGCAGGAGGCUACACAGCCCCAGAGGCUGCUUCUAAGAGGCCCACGUGGCCUGCAUGGGGACGCGCCUGGCUGUCCAGCAUGUGGUCAUUUGAAUUGUACAUGUUUCACUGGGAUGCCUAUAGAAAAGUAGACAGAAUAUCUGGAAAAAGUUGUUGAAAGGUUGCAAACUUAGCUACUUUUAAAAUAAAAAAAAAGCUUCGUAAUUAUAAAAGCAAUAUAUCCAAGUGUAAAUUUUAAAAUAAUUUGCUGCAUUAUAGUAAGCAUCCUAUGAUCUCUGUGUGCCCUAUAACAUUAUGUUGUAUAGUUUAAAUAUAUACAAUAAAAUCUAUUUUAAAAAAUA
rnacentral:lncRNA from 1 species